rnacentral:antisense_RNA from 1 species
CUUGAUCGAUCCCAGCCACAGGGGCUCGGACCGAUCCCGUCCAUACGUGGCCAACAGGGCUUGCGCCUC